UACGUAGGGUCCGAGCGUUGUCCGGAAUUAUUGGGCGUAAAGGGCUCGUAGGCGGUUUGUCACGUCGGGAGUGAAAACUCAGGGCUCAACCCUGAGCGUGCUUCCGAUACGGGCAGACUAGAGGGUAUGCAGGGGAGAACGGAAUUCCUGGUGUAGCGGUGGAAUGCGCAGAUAUCAGGAGGAACGACCGGUGGCGAAGGCGGUCUCUGGGCAUUACCUGACGCUGAGGAGCGAAAGCAUGGGGAGCGAACAGG
rnacentral:rRNA from 1 species